rnacentral:rRNA from 1 species
AUGGCCAAGACUUGCUUCAAGACCGAGCACCCCCUGGAAAGGAGGCAAGCUGAAUCUGCUAGGAUCCGUGAGAAGUAUGCUGACAGAAUUCCGGUGAUCGUUGAGAAGGCUGAUAAGUCUGAUGUCCCGGAAAUUGAUAAGAAGAAGUACCUUGUCCCUGCCGACCUCACUGUUGGCCAGUUUGUCUACGUGGUGCGGAAGAGGAUCAAGCUGAGCCCAGAAAAGGCCAUCUUCGUCUUUGUGAAUAGCACCUUGCCACCGACUGCUUCGUUGAUGUCAGCGAUCUAUGAAGAAAACAAGGACGAGGACGGCUUCCUGUACAUGACUUACAGUGGCGAGAACACUUUCGGCUCUGCCUAA